UACGUAGGGUCCGAGCGUUGUCCGGAAUUAUUGGGCGUAAAGAGCUCGUAGGCGGUUUGUCGCGUCGGAUGUGAAAACCCGGGGCUUAACCCCGGGCCUGCAUUCGAUACGGGCUGACUAGAGUACGGCAGGGGAGACUGGAAUUCCUGGUGUAGCGGUGAAAUGCGCAGAUAUCAGGAGGAACACCGGUGGCGAAGGCGGGUCUCUGGGCCGAUACUGACGCUGAGGAGCGAAAGCGUGGGGAGCGAACAGG
rnacentral:rRNA from 1 species